AGUAGCGGACGGGUGAGUAACGCGUGAGAAUCUGGCUUCAGGAGGGGGACAACAGUUGGAAACGACUGCUAAUACCCCAUAUGUCUACGGAUGAAACGGUGAAUUCCGCCUGAAGAUGAGCUCGCGUCGGAUUAGCUAGUUGGUGAGGUAAAGGCUCACCAAGGCGACGAUCCGUAGCUGGUCUGAGAGGAUGAUCAGCCACACUGGGACUGAGACACGGCCCAGACUCCUACGGGAGGCAGCAGUGGGGAAUUUUCCGCAAUGGGCGAAAGCCUGACGGAGCAACGCCGCGUGCGGGAAGACGGCCUGUGGGUUGUAAACCGCUUUUCUCUGGGAAGAAUAAGUUGACGGUACCAGAGGAAUCAGCAUCGGCUAACUCCGUGCCAGCAGCCGCGGUAAUACGGAGGAUGCAAGCGUUAUCCGGAAUUACUGGGCGUAAAGCGUCCGCGGGCGGCUUAUCAAGUCUGCUGUUAAAGGUCGGAGCUCAACUCCGGUUAGGCAGUGGAAACUGAUAGGCUAGAGUGUGGUAGGGGUAGAGGGAAUUCCCAGUGUAGCGGUGAAAUGCGUAGAUAUUGGGAAGAACAUCGGUGGCGAAAGCGCCUUGCUGGGUCUGCACUGACACUGAGGGACGAAAGCUAGGGGAGCGAAAGGGAUUAGAUACCCCUGUAGUCCUAGCCGUAAACGAUGGAUACUAGGCGUUG
rnacentral:rRNA from 1 species